GGGCAGCCGCGGAUCCCAGCCAAGAGGGAGGGAGCUCGGCCCAAAGGUCCCAUGGGGGCUGUGGGCAUACACUCGGCUCUGCUGUACAGGGAGUCCUCGACUUACAACGAUACCAACCGUGAUUUGAUGGGGAUUUCCAAUGCCCACAGCAGCUGAGAUUCAAAAUGAAGUGGCCUUAUGACUUCUUUGAAAAUUGUGCUUCAAUAAAUAGACAAUAAAAGUGAAAUGAAAGUGAAUGAGAAAUGAAUCACCUGGCCCAAAAAAUACCCAGAAGGCGGCAGGAGAUCAAAGCAGCCGAAACUUGGAAAGACCGUCAAUCCAGAUGUUGCAGGAAAGGAUUUUAAAAAAAUCUUUAUUAAGGAUAGUAAGCUAUAGGAUCCUUCGAUCGUACCUACUGCGCUACUUCUGAGCUUGAAAGAAAGCCAAACUGUUCCUUUCUUAUUCCUUGUGUAACAGUUUUCUUAACUUGUCAAAAUAUUUGCAUUAAAUGGAUUUGCAUUCUCAGAUACUGGCAGGGGGGGGAAACAACAGAAACAGCAACAGAAAAACCACCCUGGGGCUUUAGGAGAUAAUCAGUUCUUGUUUCUCUUGAAUAAGCAGUAUUCUCGUGACUUUGCUAAAGCAGCCA